rnacentral:rRNA from 1 species
UGGGGAAUUUUGGACAAUGGGCGAAAGCCUGAUCCAGCAAUGCCGCGUGAGUGAAGAAGGCCUUCGGGUUGUAAAGCUCUUUUGUCAGGGAAGAAACGGUGAGAGCUAAUAUCUUUUGCUAAUGACGGUACCUGAAGAAUAAGCACCGGCUAACUACGUGCCAGCAGCCGCGGUAAUACGUAGGGUGCAAGCGUUAAUCGGAAUUACUGGGCGUAAAGCGUGCGCAGGCGGUUUUGUAAGUCUGAUGUGAAAUCCCCGGGCUCAACCUGGGAAUUGCAUUGGAGACUGCAAGGCUAGAAUCUGGCAGAGGGGGGUAGAAUUCCACGUGUAGCAGUGAAAUGCGUAGAUAUGUGGAGGAACACCGAUGGCGAAGGCAGCCCCCUGGGUCAAGAUUGACGCUCAUGCACGAAAGCGUGGGGAGCAAACAGGAUUAGAUAUCCUGGUAGUCCACGCCCUAAACGAUGUCUACUAGUUGUCGGGUCUUAUUUGACUUGGUAACGCAGCUAACGCGUGAAGUAGACCGCCUGGGGAGUACGGUCGCAAGAUUAAAACUCAAAUGAUUGNCGGGGUCAUAGCUGUUUCCUG